rnacentral:rRNA from 1 species
GAUGAACGCUAGCGGCAGGCCUAAUACAUGCAAGCCGAACGGCAAGCUUGGUAGCAAUAUCGAGCCUAGAGUGGCGUAAGGGUGCGUAACACGUAUGCAAUCUGCCCACAACAGGAGGAUAGCUCCCCGAAAGGGGAAUUAACCCUCCAUAGCACCACACGAGGGCAUCCGAGGGUGGUUAAACCAAAAGGGGUUGUGGAUGAGCAUGCGGUUGAUUAGCUAGUUGGCGGGGUAACGGCCCACCAAGGCGAUGAUCAAUAGGGGAACUGA